UGGCGGACGGGUGGGUAACGCGUGGAAAACCUGCCGUAUACUGGGGGAUAACACUUAGAAAUAGGUGCUAAUACCGCAUAAGCGCACAGCUUCGCAUGAAGUGGUGUGAAAAACUCUGGUGGUAUACGAUGGUUCCGCGUCUGAUUAGCUUGUUGGUGGGGUAAUGGCUCACCAAGGCGACGAUCAGUAGCCGGCCUGAGAGGGUGAACGGCCACAUUGGGACUGAGACACGGCCCAAACUCCUACGGAAGGCAGCAG
rnacentral:rRNA from 1 species